UGGCGGCGUGCUUAACACAUGCAAGUCGAACGGUGAAGCCCAGCUUGCUGGGUGGAUCAGUGGCGAACGGGUGAGUAACACGUGAGCAACCUGCCCCUGACUCUGGGAUAACUCCGGGAAACCGGGGCUAAUACUGGAUAUGAGGCGUCCCUGCAUGGGGGUGUCUGGAAAGAUUUAUCGGUCAGGGAUGGGCUCGCGGCCUAUCAGCUUGUUGGUGGGGUAGUGGCCUACCAAGGCGACGACGGGUAGCCGGCCUGAGAGGGCGACCGGCCACACUGGGACUGAGACACGGCCCAGACUCCUACGGGAGGCAGCAGUGGGGAAUAUUGCACAAUGGGCGAAAGCCUGAUGCAGCGACGCCGCGUGAGGGAUGAAGGCCUUCGGGUUGUAAACCUCUUUCAGCAGGGAAGAAGCGCAAGUGACGGUACCUGCAGAAGAAGCGCCGGCUAACUACGUGCCAGCAGCCGCGGUAAUACGUAGGGCGCAAGCGUUGUCCGGAAUUAUUGGGCGUAAAGAGCUCGUAGGCGGUUUGUCGCGUCUGGUGUGAAAACUCAAGGCUCAACCUUGAGCUUGCAUCGGGUACGGGCAGACUAGAGUGCGGUAGGGGAGACUGGAAUUCCUGGUGUAGCGGUGGAAUGCGCAGAUAUCAGGAGGAACACCGAUGGCGAAGGCAGGUCUCUGGGCCGCAACUGACGCUGAGGAGCGAAAGCAUGGGGAGCGAACAGGAUUAGAUACCCUGGUAGUCCAUGCCGUAAACGUUGGGCACUAGGUGUGGGGCUCAUUCCACGAGUUCCGUGCCGCAGCUAACGCA
rnacentral:rRNA from 1 species